CCUACGGGAGGCAGCAGUGGGGAAUAUUGGGCAAUGGGCGCAAGCCUGACCCAGCAACGCCGCGUGAAGGAAGAAGGCUUUCGGGUUGUAAACUUCUUUCGACAGGGAAGAGCAGAAGACGGUACCUGUCGAAUAAGCCACGGCUAACUACGUGCCAGCAGCCGCGGUAAUACGUAGGUGGCAAGCGUUGUCCGGAUUUACUGGGGGUAAAGGGCGUGUAGCCGGGCUGACAAGUCAGAUGUGAAAUCCGGGGGCUCAACCCCCGAACUGCAUUUGAAACUGUUGGUCUUGAGUAUCGGAGAGGCAGGCGGAAUUCCUAGUGUAGCGGUGAAAUGCGUAGAUAUUAGGAGGAACACCAGUGGCGAAGGCGGCCUGCUGGACGACAACUGACGGUGAGGCGCGAAAGCGUGGGGAGCAAACAGGAUUAGAUACCCGGGUAGUC
rnacentral:rRNA from 1 species